CAAGGCAAGCCAUUUAAAAACGUGUAUAGAGACCGUAUCCGCUAAGAGAUAAACAAAUGUUCACAAAGUACCUAGAGCUACUGAUGGUUACUUUAUUUUACCAAAUUUUAAACAAAAAACGUUUUUUUUAUUUAAGUUUUUUAAAAAUGAUUUUGUCAUGAUUAUUUUCUCCGAACACUGAUCUGUUAUGUGAAUACUACUUAAAAUGGACAAUUUUGGUAAAAUACAUAUUUAGGUAAUAGAAACAAAUAAAUUAACUUUUACAUUACUAUAGUUUAUAUUAUACAUAGUUUAUUUAUUUUUUAUAGAUUGCCUUUCCCUUCACUCUUAAUACCUAAAUUAAUCUUCCUAUUAUCCAGUUAGAAUGAAUUGAUUUUUAUUCUGACAUUGAAG